GCUCCUUGGGUGACGAGUGGCGGACGGGUGAGUAAUGUCUGGGGAUCUGCCCGAUAGAGGGGGAUAACCACUGGAAACGGUGGCUAAUACCGUAUAACGUCGCAAGACCAAAGAGGGGGACCUUCGGGCCUCUCACUAUCGGAUGAACCCAGAUGGGAUUAGCUAGUAGGCGGGGUAAUGGCCCACCUAGGCGACGAUCCCUAGCUGGUCUGAGAGGAUGACCAGCCACACUGGAACUGAGACACGGUCCAGACUCCUACGGGAGGCA
rnacentral:rRNA from 1 species